rnacentral:misc_RNA from 1 species
AUUUAAAUAGAGAAAAAGAAAAUGUUGGCUAUAUUCCACAAAGCUUUUGCUAACCCACCAGAUGAGCUCAACAGUCCUGCAUCUCAGAAGGUUAAUAAGAAGCCUAAGCUUCCGCAAGAGACUCUUGAUGAGUUCCUUUCUCAUUAUCCUGACAACACUUUCUCCAUGAGCUUCGGUGAAGCUGCUGUGCUUGCCUAUGUUCGCCCUGACAACAAUUUCUCACAUCAUCAAAGGUUUUUUUGUGGGUUUGAGGAUAUAUACUGCCUGUUCUUGGGGAGCUUGGACAACUUGUGUGUACUGAAUAGGCAAUAUGGUUUGACAAAGGGGACUAAUGAGGCCAUGUUUGUGAUCGAAGCUUAUCGGACACUUCGUGAUAGGGGUCCAUACCCUGCUGAUCAAGUUGUCAAGGAUCUUGAUGGAAGCUUUGCUUUUGUUAUCUAUGAUAGCAAGGCUGGUACUGUCUUUGUAGCACUGGGUUCUGAUGGUGGGGUGAAGCUGUACUGGGGUAUCGCAGCUGAUGGUUCUGUGGUUAUAUCCGAUGAUGUGGAAGUCAUAAAAGCAGGCUGUGCAAAAUCAUUUGCUCCCUUCCCAGCGGGUACUUGAAUGAAAUUUAAUUCUUUUCCCAUUUUAUUGUUUUUACCGUUGACAAAAACUAUGGUUAUAUUGGCGGAGAGAGCGUGGGACUUGACUCUGAAAUCAUGUUGGUGCAGGAUUUAUGUUCCACAGUGAAGGCGGAUUGAUGAGCUUUGAGCAUCCAAUGAACAAGAUAAGAGCAAUGCCAAGGGUUGAUAGCGAAGGAGUGCUGUGUGGGGCAAACUUCAAGGUUGACGUAUACACGAGGAUCAACAGCAUACCACGCAGAGGAAGUGAAGCUAAUUGGACCGAAUGGGACUCCCAUAACUGAAUAUUGGUUACCAUACUUUAAUUUGCGUGUAGGCCUAGGACUUUUACUUUUUCUUUUCUAUGUUGUCGUCUUUCUCCUUUCAAUUAAUGCUAAUAUGUUCCUGGAAAAGAAAGAAAAGCAUGCCAUGAGUUCAAGAACAAACUAUAUUUGCUUAUUUACGGA